UUCAAUGAGCGGCGGUAGCAGGGGUACCGCAAGGUACGCCGGUUUCCUUUUGCACCGGUUCGCCAACCCUGCUAUUCGCUGCUCCCCCCG
rnacentral:antisense_RNA from 1 species